GGGAAACUAGUUUAAUAAAAAUAUAAGAAUGUCAUUCUUAAGAUACUCAGUGUUUCCCA
rnacentral:tRNA from 1 species